AUACAAUCACUCAGAACUCUCAAAACCUAACUCCAGUGUGUUUUCUAACUCACAACUCUACUGCAAUGGGUAAAAUAUUACAAUAUUUAUACUGGUCUAUACUGCGGGACGUUACCCCAGCACCCUUAAGGAGAUCAGUAAUGGGCUUCAAGCCCGAACCUAUCAAUCCGUACCCUCCGCUACCACCACAAAUCUCAUUUUCUAUCCCAAUCGGAUCACAACGCAAAACUUUCGGAUCAAGUCACAAUUCAGGUCCAUGAAAAACAUAUCCAAAAUUCAAAAGCCACAAUUAUAACAGAAAUUGUUUAGAAAACAUGAGCAUUUAUUGCAUAAGAUUUGAGCUCUAAACGCUUGGACUAAAACUUCUACUGAUACAAGUUCCCAUUCAAUAGCUGAAAAUUUGUACACCCAGCUAUAAAAUGUUCAAGCAGCUUCACAACAUAUUAUUGACACUUACCAGUCACCUGAUACCGACGCUAGGCCUGGACUGGCAUUCUUCACUAUACUUUUCUUUUUUUCUUUUUUUUUAUGCUUUUUUACAAAGGAAAACCUUAUCUCACAAACCCACAUGAGAAAAGAAAAGGAAAGAAAAAAGAUAAAAAGGGAAAAAUUUGACAGCCAAAACAAUCAUUUUAGAGAAACUUCAGAAGUACAACUACUAAUGGCCAGAUCACUGGGUGUGCAUACCAUAGCCCUUUGCUGUAAAUGUCUCAAGCUCUGUUCCAUGCUAACUUGCACCAUCUCAGCCAGCAUUUUCUUCGCUUUAUUACAUUGAUCAUCUCCAUCUAUCUGGGAGAUAAUGUUGCACACAAUAUUCUCUAGUGUGUCAGGCUGAAGCUCAGAUCUUGGGUAUGGAGUAUCCCUCAAUAACUGCAACAGGGUUUGUGCCUUUAUCUGUGACUUGGGUGUUCCUUGAACAGUCAGCUCGAGAAGUCCAGGGAUCACACCUUCUCUGAGAAUUGGUUCUCUAUAUUUACUUCUAUCACUCUGACACAUGGUCAGUAAUGCCCCAACUGCAUGCUCUCGACUUUGGAUGGACCCAUUUUCUAGCACUUCAACAACAGCAAGGACUCCACCUUCUUCAGAUGUCAAUGCCGUUCUACCCUCAUCAAAACCCGCUAAAGAUUCUAUCAGAGCACAACAUUUUUCGGCCACUUUUGAAGAUUUUUUACAAGUCUUCAGUAAACUAACCAGAGAUGGGAUUGGAUUGGUACGUAGAAUAAUGCUGAGAUUAUCUGUAUGUGUUGAAAGAUUAGAAAGGGACAUCACAGCAUCAAACUUGGCUUGAGAACUUCCACCCCUAAGGAUUUCCACAAGCAAAGGUAUGGCACCGGAAGCACCUAUAAUCGGCUUGUUCGUGGUAGAUGCAGAAAGAGUAAGCAAAGAUGCUGUUGCAUACUCCUGUAAGUUUAAAUUCUGUGACUGAAGAAAGCCAAUUAUUGGUUCUAAGGCUCCAGCUUCAACAAUGCUUAUCUUGUUCCUGCAAAAUAAGAAGAUAUUAGAUGAAUUUGAAGAACGUAAAACAAUCAAAUGCGAAUUUUGCGAUGCCUAAUCUCUUGUCAAAACAGAGGGCAUAUACAAUAAAAAGCAUCGACAGUAAGCCUCCAUUACAAAAGUUAGCAGAAAGAAACAGUAAAAGUUUUAAACAUCAUAAAAUAUCCAAUACAGAGUGGGAUGGAGCAAAUGGAUAUUAAACGACAAUAGCAAGUCAGUUGAAACUGAGAAGAUAAAAUUCUGGCACCACUGGCAAAUUUGGACCAUUGUCACAAGUCCUGAGAUUUUUGCAUCUAAUAAGCAGUGAAUUUUAGUUUCUCAAAAUAAUCAGACUGCAAUGAAAUGAUGUCCUAUAAAAGAUAUAAUAUCAACUAAAAUGACUUUAUUGAUCUCAUCCCUCUAGUUCAAGAUUUUUAAAUCAGCAGCAAAAUUGAAUUGAUUUCCCUAUAUUAAAUUGGUCAUUGAAUUGUGGGGUUCCUCUGCUUUAUCUUUGAAAGUCCUUUCCCUUACCUCCCCUAAAAAGAAAUUCUCCACGAUCAAGGACCAAAAUGUAAUUGCAGAACGAAAAUGUAAUCCUUGAUAAAGAGCAACUUGAUCCUAAAUAGAAAAGAAAGAACCUCUCUCCUACCCUCUGUCCCUCACCAAACUGAUCCCGUUAUUGUGACGCGAUAACUUGAAAGAAAAGAUAAAAGAAAAAGGUGAAAAAGAUAUAAAAAUAAAAAGAAAGAGUAACCUGUGAAGCAAAGAACAAGCACCUCCGCCCUCCAAUCAAAUGGUUUUCAACCAUAAAAGCAUCCAAUUCUUUCUUUAUAAAGGGCUAACUCAUUUGGAAAAAGCACCGACACAUUUAAAUACUAUCGUGAUUUAUUUAGGACAUUUAUUUAACCAUACCGUGAUUCAGGACGUUUAAUUUCCAUUUUUUGGACCCUUAUACUGGAAAACAGUUAGCGGACCAUUGAACCUGACAAUCAACAUGAAACUUUGAAACCUUCUUCUAGAAAUUCAAUUUCGAAUAAAGCGAUUACUGAACUCCAUGAAUUAAGUAAGAACGUCUUUUCCUUUUCUAAGAACAAUUUUGUUUUCCUUUAAUUGGUCAAGCAAUCUAAGUAAUUGAAACCCAUCAAAUCGAAGCAGAGGAAUAAAAAGUAAACAUGAGGAAAUAAAAAAAAAUAAUAUUGUAAAGAACAGAUUCAAAAGAAUUUUUUCUUUUUCUUUCAAAUUGAGGAAUCCGAGGAGAAAUCAUAUCUUAAAAGAAGAAAAAAAAGUUGGAGACAGUGAAAUAUAGUUGAAUUCUAUUUCCGGCGUAGAACAAUCAGCCUAAAAAUCCCUAAUUCGCCAUCAAAUAAAAGAACACGGACCUGUCUAAAAUCAAGUUGUAAAUUUCAAAAUGGAUAAAUUAAAUAUAUAAGAAACAAAUCCGUAAAAAUUAUAUUAAAAAAGGCAAUAAUAAGUUGAAGUUAAAUUUUUUAUUAAAAAAGAAGAAAAAAAAAGAAAAGGGAGAGGGAAAAGAAGGGCUGGUGGAAGAAAAGUAGCUAGGGGAAGGUUUUAUGUGCACUU
rnacentral:misc_RNA from 1 species